rnacentral:rRNA from 1 species
GACGAACGCUGGCGGCGUGCUUAACACAUGCAAGUCGAACGGAAAGGCCCCUUCGGGGGUCCUCGAGUGGCGAACGGGUGAGUAACACGUGAGUAACCUGCCCUUGACUUCGGGAUAACUUCAGGAAACUGGGGCUAAUACCGGAUAGGAAUCCUUGCUGCAUGGUGGGGGUUGGAAAGCUUCGGCGGUUUUGGAUGGACUCGCGGCUUAUCAGCUUGUUGGUGGGGUAGUGGCUUACCAAGGCCUUGACGGGUAGCCGGCCUGAGAGGGCGACCGGCCACAUUGGGACUGAGAUACGGCCCAGACUCCUACGGGAGGCAGCAGUGGGGAAUAUUGCACAAUGGGCGGAAGCCUGAUGCAGCAACGCCGCGUGCGGGAUGACGGCCUUCGGGUUGUAAACCGCUUUCAGCAGGGGCGAAGCUUGUGGUGACGGUACCUGCAGAAGAAGCACCGGCUAACUACGUG